UAAAAUUCAGUUCUUGUAGAUGCACAAGAUA
rnacentral:piRNA from 1 species